GAUGAACGCUGGCGGCGUGCCUAAUACAUGCAAGUCGAGCGAAGCGGGGACGGGUGAGUAACACGUGGAUAACCUCCUAUAAGACUGGGAUAACUUCGGGAAACCGGCGCUAAACCUGAUACUUCUCUAUUGAUCCGCGCUGCAUUAGCUAGUUGGUAAGGUAACGCCUUAACAAGGCAACGAUGCAUAGCCGGCCUGAGAGGGUGAUCGGCCACACUGGAACUGAGAAACGGUCCAGACUCCUACGGGAGGCAGCAGUAGGGAAUAUUCCGCAAUGGGCGAAAGCCUGACGGAGCCACGCCGCGUGAGUGAUGAAGGUCUUCGGAUCGUAAAACUCUGUUAUGAGGUAAGCGGUACCUAAUCAGAAAGCCACGGCUAACUACGUGCCAGCAGCCGCGGUAAUAC
rnacentral:rRNA from 1 species